AUUGCCCUAGUAACGGCGAGUGAAGCGGCAACAGCUCAAAUUUGAAAUCUGGCUUCGGCCCGAGUUGUAAUUUGUAGAGGAAGCUUUUGGUGAGGCACCUUCUGAGUCCCCUGGAACGGGGCGCCAUAGAGGGUGAGAGCCCCGUAUAGUCGGAUGCCGAUCCAAUGUAAAGCUCCUUCGACGAGUCGAGUAGUUUGGGAAUGCUGCUCAAAAUGGGAGGUAAAUUUCUUCUAAAGCUAAAUACCGGCCAGAGACCGAUAGCGCACAAGUAGAGUGAUCGAAAGAUGAAAAGCACUUUGAAAAGAGGGUUAAAUAGCACGUGAAAUUGUUGAAAGGGAAGCGUUUGUGACCAGACUUGCGCCGUUCCGAUCAUCCGGUGUUCUCACCGGUGCACUCGGGGCGGCUCAGGCCAGCAUCGGUUUUGGCGGGGGGAUAAAGGUCCGGGGAACGUAGCUCCUCCGGGAGUGUUAUAGCCCCGGGCGUAAUGCCCUCGCCGGGACCGAGGUUCGCGCAUCUGCAAGGAUGCUGGCGUAAUGGUCAUCAACGACCCGUCUUGAAACACGGACCAAGGAGUCAAGGUUUUGCGCGAGUGUUUGGGUGUAAAACCCGCACGCGUAAUGAAAGUGAACGUAGGUGAGAGCUUCGGCGCAUCAUCGACCGAUCCUGAUGUAUUCGGAUGGAUUUGAGUAAGAGCGUUAAGCCUUGGACCCGAAAGAUGGUGAACUAUGCUUGGAUAGGGUGAAGCCAGAGGAAACUCUGGUGGAGGCUCGCAGCGGUUCUGACGUGCAAAUCGAUCGUCAAAUCUGAGCAUGGGGGCGAAAGACUA
rnacentral:rRNA from 1 species